CCUACGGGUGGCAGCAGUGGGGAAUAUUGCACAAUGGGGGAAACCCUGAUGCAGCGACGCCGCGUGAGUGAAGAAGUAAUUCGUUACGUAAAGCUCUAUCAGCAGGGAAGAAACACUGACCUUACGGUCAGCAGACGGUACCUGAGUAAGAAGACCCGGCUAACUACGUGCCAGCAGCCGCGGUAAUACGUAGGGGGCAAGCGUUAUCCGGAUUUACUGGGUGUAAAGGGGGCGUAGACGGUGCGCCAAGUCGGGCGUGAAAUGCCGCAGCGUAAAUGCGGACCUGCGGUGGAAACUGGCGAACUAGAGUGCGGGGGGGGUAUGCGGAAUGCGUGGUGUAGCGGUGAAAUGCGUAGAUAUUGGGAGGAACACCGGUGGCGAAGGCGGCUUACUGGACCGUAACUGACGUUGAGGCUCGAAAGCGUGGGGAGCAAACAGGAUUAGAUACCCGGGUAGUC
rnacentral:rRNA from 1 species